CGCAGCCGGCCAACCUCCAAGACACCUUCGUGGUUCACACUGUCUAAGUCGUCGUAGCUCUUCACCACCUGUCAACAAUCAAUCAGUCAGUCAAUCAAGCAAUCAAUCAAUCCAGUCCCUGUGUGUCAUAACCUGUCACAGUCAGUCAAAGUAAUAGAUGCGUCUACCUUGUUGGUGAUCAGAGAGAGACCAAAGACUCUCAGACCACAGUGAGUUGCCACGACGACCUCAGGAGCGGUACUCAUACCUACAGAGACAGUCACAACAGUACUGCUGAUACUAAUGAGGAUACUGUGAAUAUUACUGCUUGUGUCACACGUCCACCCCGAGUCGAUGCAACAGUCUGGCCUCAGCAAUGCUUUCAAAGUUGGGUCCACCCACCAUGGCAUACACGCCCUCCUGCAUGAGGCCAGCCACGCCCAGCUGCUUGGCAAUCUCCAUGGCUAAGCAACGCAGUCCUUUGUCAUAGCAACCUGACAUGGCUGGGAAACGAGGCCCGAACCUGGGGUUCAGGCCGACCAAUCCAGGGAAGUUGACAUGGUCUUUGAUGAUCAUAAUGUCACCAGGCUGGAGGCCAUCGGCCAGUGACCCGGCAGCAUUGGUCACGAUCAGAGUCUCCACCCCUAAGAGCUUGAAGACUCGGACUGGAAACGUUGUCU